UAAAGAUGCAAAUGAUUGUGAGGGGGCAGUUCAGAUUUUUGCUUAAAGAUUUAUUUUUUUUUUUUUUAGGAGCAAAAGGGAAACAGAAGCCUGCCAAUGGUGGAAUACAGGACCCAAGUUAACAGCUCACUGUAAAAUGACCAUCAUGUUAAGUCAGAGAAAGACUGCAUUUUUGGGGAAGCCCUACUUCUAAAAUGUAUUAAGCCUCAAUAUGAUUAAGGGGCUGCUGGAGAAUGGCCGUGUCCUUAUUUUGAUCUGCCUGCUGAUGGCCUGGAUAUUUUUAGUUGGUGAAAAUUCAUUCUUACUAUCUUAUGAUGUGUUUACUUGUGGGUAUCCAUGCAUGUUUUUACAAAGAGUAUAAAAUGAAUGCGUUAUCUUCAUAUAUAGAUAUAGGAUACCUGGGAAUAUCUGGGAAUAUACUUUAUCAAGUUGUUAAAAACCCUGGAAUGCUUGCUGCUUGAAACCCCAUAAAGACACCACCCUGGUCUACCUUGACUGCCAGCGUUUGAGGACCCAUUGGCUUUCCACAGCUGCCCUGGCUUGUUUUCCUACCUUGGCCAGUCUCAACACUCUGGUCCUAGAUUCACUUCUCAGCUAGCUUUGGUGUCUUUGUCUUGUCCAUUACGAGCUGAGCAACAAUAAGCAACUUUAAGCAACUUAUUGAAUAUUCUCUGGGUCCCAGCAUCGUAGAGAAAAAUACAGAGAACCAAGUUCUGCAGAAGGAGUAUGAGGGGAAAUAUGGGGCCUGCUGAACCUGCUACCUGGUGGUUCGACGUGUGAAGGCUGAACGCAGCAACACUCUCUGAAAGUUGUUUAGCAGCAAGAAUGAAGACCUCCAUACCAACAUGGUAGAGAGGGAAAACAGAAAUCUUGAAACAAACUAUGGCCACAGUUUUAGGGAUCAACGGCAUUGUGACUUUUCCUAGAAGGCCUUAACUACCGCUUCAGUUCUUCAGCUCCAAUGAAUCAGCAAAUCCAACGGAGAACGGAUCUCAUACAAGGACAAUAAAACUACAAAUACACACACCAGUAAAGUAAUA